ACCUGUGUGGUGUAGUGGUUAGGGUGCUGGCUCAGGACUUGAGAGACCUGGGUUCAAAUCCCUGCUCAGCCA